rnacentral:rRNA from 1 species
GACGGAGGGUGCAAGCGUUGCUCGGAUUUACUGGGCGUAAAGGGCGCGUAGGCGGCUUGGUAAGUCUGAUGUGAAAGCCCACGACUCAAUCGUGGAAGUGCAUUGGAUACUGCUAGGCUAGAAUGCAGGAGAGGUGAGCGGAAUUCCAGGUGUAGAGGCGAAAUUCGUAGAUAUCUGGAGGAACAACGGUGGCGAAGGCGGCUCACUGGACUGAUAUUGACGCUGAGGCGCGAAAGUGUGGGGAGCAAACGGG